rnacentral:rRNA from 1 species
CUGCAUGGCUGUCGUCAGCUCGUGUCGUGAGAUGUUGGGUUAAGUCCCGCAACGAGCGCAACCCUCGUCUCUAGUUGCUACGCAAGAGCACUCUAGAGAGACUGCCGGUGACAAACCGGAGGAAGGUGGGGAUGACGUCAAGUCCUCAUGGCCCUUAUGGGUAGGGCUUCACACGUCAUACAAUGGUGCGUACAGAGGGUUGCCAACCCGCGAGGGGGAGCUAAUCCCAGAAAACGCAUCGUAGUCCGGAUCGUAGUCUGCAACUCGACUACGUGAAGCUGGAAUCGCUAGUAAUCGCGGAUCAGCAUGCCGCGGUGAAUACGUU